rnacentral:misc_RNA from 1 species
GGGAUCCUGGUCGACAACAGAUGGAAUUCCAACAGCUGCCUACCUCCUAUUUGCGACUGGCUGCUCACCGCGUGGCACAGCACUAUUCAUUACAAUCAAUGGUUCUGUUGGACAAUAGUUUACCGGAUGGCUCGGGUUCCAGAAUUAUUGUGCGCAAGACUUCUGAAUGUCGGAUGCCGUUGAUUCGCCUGGCUGACAUUCCGGUGAAUUUGCCUCAAGGAGAUACUGGUGUGGUUAAGGUUGCGAUAAAGCAGAGGCCACAGAAAGGUUCACAGUUAGCAAGUGGUUUGAAUUCAAACUCAUCAAAGGGAAAUUCUGCUAAAAGUGUUGAGGAAAGGAAGGAGGAAUAUAAUAGGGCUCGAGCACGUAUAUUUAACUCUAAUAGUUUAAGUGGAAGCUCCAAUGUAAAACCUGAAACUGAAUCAAGGUCACAAGAUACUUACCAGUAUGGUCCUAUAGGCAUACCACAGUUGGAAGAAAAAGCCAGUCCAGCUGGCGGCUCUGAUUUGAAUACUGGGCGGAGUCUGAUUGAUUCUUCAACAAGUAGCAGUAGGUCGGCUAGAAGUAGGACAGAAAAGGAGCCAGUUGGUAGGUCUAAAUCUUAUAAUAAAGUUGCUAUCUUUCGCGAUCGGGAAAUUGACAGGAAGGACCCUGAUUAUGACAGGAAUUACGACAGGUACAUGCAAAGGUUUGAUCCUGGGUUUGGAUUCGCUGGUGGCCCAUACACAAUUCAACCCAUGUAUGCUCCUGCAAUAAACUAUAAUACUGAGUUUCCCCAGCUUGGAUCUGCUCUUAGGUCUCCCAUUUCUGCUGAAAACCAACCUCGUCCACUUCCUCAACAUUUACCUGGGCCUUGGACAACACCAACGACUCCAGGUAUUGGUUAUGGUCCAGCAGAGAGCAUGAUGCCUCCCCCUUUUAGUCACAAUCAUGUUAGUGCACGCUCAAACUCAGCUAUAUAUUUACAUUCAACCCAGUAUCCUUGUCAGCGUCCUGGAAUGACUUUUAUCCAUCCUCAUGAGCAGGUUCACCAACCCUUCUCACAGUCUCAUGCGCUGCAACCUGAUGGUUUUGGAUUAGCCCGGCCCCGGUGAGGGGCACGGGCCAUGCCUGCA